rnacentral:rRNA from 1 species
UGGGGAAUUUUGGACAAUGGGCGAAAGCCUGAUCCAGCAAUGCCGCGUGUGUGAAGAAGGCCUUCGGGUUGUAAAGCACUUUUGUCCGGAAAGAAAUGGCUCUGGUUAAUACCUGGGGUCGAUGACGGUACCGGAAGAAUAAGGACCGGCUAACUACGUGCCAGCAGCCGCGGUAAUACGUAGGGUCCAAGCGUUAAUCGGAAUUACUGGGCGUAAAGUGUGCGCAGGCGGUUGUGCAAGACCGAUGUGAAAUCCCCGAGCUUAACUUGGAAAUUGCAUUGGUGACAGCACGGCUAGAGUGUGUCAGAGGGGGGUAGAAUUCCACGUGUAGCAGUGAAAUGCGUAGAGAUGUGGAGGAAUACCGAUGGCGAAGGCAGCCCCCUGGGAUAACACUGACGCACAUGCACGAAAGCGUGGGGAGCAAACAGG